rnacentral:piRNA from 1 species
UACUUUUGGUGUGUACCUCAGGCUGGUC